CAGGAAGUGAUGUCAGACAGGAAUUUUCGGGUGAGAGGUGAGUCGGGAGGACGUAGAGAGAAGAUAUUACUGGAAGAGGCACCAGAGGAGAAUAGAGAAAUACAAAGAAGAUUCUAGAAGUCACCAGAGAGAUCAUCAAACUGCUGACAGGAGACAUGAGCGGUGUCGGGAAGGACAUCAUGAUGGACAAUCAGCCGCCCCUCACAUCACCGGAUGGAUCCAGUAAUGGGAACCCACCAGAGAGAUGUCCCC